rnacentral:rRNA from 1 species
UACGGGGGAUGCGAGCGUUAUCCGGAAUGAUUGGGCGUAAAGGGUGCGCAGGCGGCUCCGCAUGUCGGGCGUGAAAUCCCCGGGCUUAACCUGGGAAUUGCGUCCGAAACUAUGGAGCUGGAGUGUGGCAGAGGGAGGUGGAAUUCCACGUGUAGCGGUGAAAUGCGUAGAGAUGUGGAGGAACACCGAUGGCGAAGGCAGCCUCCUGGGCCAACACUGACGCUCAUGCACGAAAGCGUGGGGAGCAAACAGG